rnacentral:rRNA from 1 species
UACGGAGGAUGCAAGCGUUAUCCGGAUUUAUUGGGUUUAAAGGGUGCGCAGGUUGUUUGAUAAGUCAGUGGUGAAAGUCUGUCGCUUAACGGUAGGAUUGCCAUUGAUACUGUUGGACUUGAAUAUGGAUGAGGUAGGCGGAAUGUGUAGUGUAGCGGUGAAAUGCAUAGAUAUUACACAGAACACCGAUUGCGAAGGCAGCUUACUAAACUGCCACUGACGCUGAUGCACGAAAGCGUGGGUAUCAAACAGGA